rnacentral:rRNA from 1 species
GACGUAGGGCGCGAGCGUUGUCCGGAUUUAUUGGGCGUAAAGAGCUCGUAGGCGGUCUGUCACGUCGGCUGUGAAAACCUGGGGCUCAACUCCGGGCCUGCAGCCGAUACGGGCAGACUAGAGUUCGGCAGGGGAGACUGGAAUUCCUGGUGUAGCGGUGAAAUGCGCAGAUAUCAGGAGGAACACCUGUGGCGAAAGCGGCUCACUGGACCACAACUGACGCUGAGGCGCGAAAGCUAGGGGAGCAAACAGG